CCAUGUGCGUGACCUGCGAGGUAUCCCACGAGCCGAUCGGCUGGUUGAACGCGGCGGCGCCAUAGAACAUGUACCUCAUGUUCGUGACCUUGGAGGUAUCCCACGAGCCGAUGGCUUGAUUGAACGCGGCGGCGCCUUGGAACAUGGCACCCAUGUUCGUGACCUUGGAGGUAUCCCACGAGCCGAUGGCUUGAUUGAACGCGGCGGCGCCUUCGAACAUGCGAGCCAUGUGCGUGACCUGCGAGGUAUCCCACGAGCCGAUCGGCUGGUUGAACGCGGCAGCGCCAUAGAACAUGUACUCCAUUCUCGUGACCUUGGAGGUAUCCCACGAGCCGAUGGCUUCAUUGAAAGCGGCGGCGCCACGGAACAUGUACCACAUGUGCGUGACCUGCGAGGUAUUCCACGAGCCGAUCGGCUGAUUGAACGCGGCGGCGCCAUAGAACAUGGACCCGAUGCUCGUGACCUUUGAG
rnacentral:lncRNA from 1 species